rnacentral:rRNA from 1 species
GAUGAACGCUGGCGGCGUGCCUAAUACAUGCAAGUCGAGCGAACAGACGAGGAGCUUGCUCCUCUGACGUUAGCGGCGGACGGGUGAGUAACACGUGGAUAACCUACCUAUAAGACUGGGAUAACUUCGGGAAACCGGAGCUAAUACCGGAUAAUAUAUUGAACCGCAUGGUUCAAUAGUGAAAGACGGUUUUGCUGUCACUUAUAGAUGGAUCCGCGCCUCAUUAGCUAGUUGGUAAGGUAACGGCUUACCAAGGCAACGAUGCGUAGCCGACGGGAGAGGGUGAGCGGCCACACUGGAACUGAGACACGGUCCAGACUACUACGGGAGGCAGCAGUAGGGAAUCUUCCGCAAUGGGCGAAAGCCUGACGGAGCAACGCCGCGUGAGUGAUGAAGGUCUUCGGAUCGUAAAACUCUGUUAUUAGGGAAGAACAAAUGUGUAAGUAACUAUGCACGUCUUGACGGUACCUAAUCAGAAAGCCACGGCUAACUACGUG